UACGAAGGGGGCUAGCGUUGCUCGGAAUUACUGGGCGUAAAGCGCACGUAGGCGGACUGAUAAGUCAGGGGUGAAAUCCCGGGGCUCAACCCCCGGAACUGCCUUUGAUACUGUCAGUCUAGAGUUCGAGAGAGGUGAGUGGAAUUCCGAGUGUAGAGGUGAAAUUCGUAGAUAUUCGGAGGAACACCAGUGGCGAAGGCGGCUCACUGGCUCGAUACUGACGCUGAGGUGCGAAAGCGUGGGGGAGCAAACAGG
rnacentral:rRNA from 1 species